CCCCUCUCCGGAUUGCACCUGGAGAGUUUCCAGUGGUCUACCGGCCUUGGCUAGGGGAGGGAGAGUCAAGCGGAGGCCAACCCAUUCCAUUCUUAGCUAGGGCAGUGGCUAGUGAGUGGAAGGCCAUCUGCAACAAGU